GAUGGAAGACAAAAGAAGUUCAGCAAAUGACGACUCAAAGCAAGAACCGGCGAGGGAUUACGAACUCCAUCGGCGCAGAACAAGACAUAAGACCAAUAGAGUUUGGUAAACAACCAUUUAAUGCCAGAAUAGACAAGGUAACAGAUAAUUUCAUUUCCAUUUCAUUGGUGAAGUACUCAUUACAAAGCCUUAAAGGCCAAAAAA
rnacentral:lncRNA from 1 species